UACGUAGGGUGCGAGCGUUGUCCGGAAUUACUGGGCGUAAAGAGCUCGUAGGUGGUUUGUCACGUCGUCUGUGAAAUUCCGGGGCUUAACCUCGGGCGUGAAGGCGAUACGGGCAAUACUUGAGUGCUGUAGGGGAGGACUGGAAUUCCUGGUGUAGCGGUGAAAUGCGCAGAUAUCAGGAGGAACACCAAUGGCGAAGGCAGGUCUCUGGGCAGUUACUGACGCUGAGGAGCGAAAGCAUGGGUAGCGAACAGGAUUAGAUA
rnacentral:rRNA from 1 species